UGUCACCUCAUUUUUUUUCUGUAGAUUAGAAAUAGGAAUUUUACAUGUUGUGUUUGAGCAUUUUGUGGAUUGGUUUCCAACACAGACAGACGCCUUCUCAGCCUCAUGAACAGAUUCUCUGCAGGAGGAUCCCGUGUGUAUGGUGACUCAGUCAGGCAAACCAACGACGAAAGAAAAUGGUUCCCCAAAACCUAAAACCUGUCAUCCUGUAUCCUGACCACCUGCCAUCAACACAGAGCCAAGAGACGUGUGGCUUACAUCUCACCAUCUCCUUAACUUUGAGGGAGGUACCACACUUCAAGCAGUGGCAGCAUUGAGACGGCUAAGUGUACUCCUGUGGCUGAUGGGUGGGGAAGAUGCCAAUGACCACACUAUGGCAGAGAGGGUGUGGCGAGGGGAGCCCAGGCUGGGCCCAGGGUGAGCUGCUGUAUCGUGGGAGCGACGAGGGCCAUUCUUGACCAGGCACUGUUGAUCGAGGCCGAGAAUGGGCUGCUGGAAUUUACAGAAGGGUUUUUGCCAAGUCCUGUACCCUCUUCCCAGCCACAGCUCAUAGGGACUCGCUCCCUCACCACCAACACCUUGAUGAUCGUUGCUGUGGUGAGCCUGUCUCUCUCUCAGGAGAAACUAGGACCAAGAGAAAACUGCUAAAGCAUCAGUCGGCGAGUAAGAGGAAUCUGUGCAGCCGCAAAGUCGUGCCUGGAUUUACCCUGCCAUACCCUGCAGUACAAAGAGAAACCUGGGAAAGCCUGAGUCCCUGUGUCGACGUAGCGGUCAGGUUCUGGAGGUGAGGUUCAGCCAGAGCUGACGCUGGAACUUCUCUGCCAGGGGCUCCCCGCAAAAAAAUUCGCUCGAAAUGUUACAAAAUGUGUGUCAGUUGCUGUGUGCAUUCACUUUUCACCCUCUGCCUCAUACCCUGCUUUUUGGUGAAGAAAAGAGUGUAAAACCUAUAGAGUUUUUACCAGUUUCAACAGGUACAUUGCAAGCUACUGAUGUAUCCCAAUGCUCCUUAGCACUUUCCGUAUCCUUCCAU
rnacentral:lncRNA from 1 species